rnacentral:rRNA from 1 species
UACAGAGGUCCCGAGCGUUGUCCGGAAUUACUGGGCGUAAAGAGCUCGUAGGUGGUUUGUCGCGUUGUUCGUGAAAACUCACAGCUUAACUGUGGGCGUGCGGGCGAUACGGGCAGACUUGAGUACUGCAGGGGAGACUGGAAUUCCUGGUGUAGCGGUGGAAUGCGCAGAUAUCAGGAGGAACACCGGUGGCGAAGGCGGGUCUCUGGGCAGUAACUGACGCUGAGGAGCGAAAGCGUGGGGGAGCGAACAGG